UUGCCCUAGUAACGGCGAGUGAAGCGGCANCAGCUCAAAUUUGAAAUCUGGCGUCUUUGGCNCCCCUUUNNNGAAUUUGCAGAGGGCGCUUUGGCAUUGGCAGCCCCUNNAANUNCNGUGGAACAGGACGUCACAGAGGGAGAGAAUCCCGUACGUGGUCGCUAGCCUUUACCGUGUNAAGCCCCUUCGACGAGUCGAGGUAGNUUGGGAAUGCAGCUCUAAAUGGGAGGUAAAUUUCUUCUAAAGCUAAAUACUGGCCAGAGACCGAUAGCGCACAAGUAGAGUGAUCGAAAGAUGAAAAGCACUUUGGAAAGAGNCNGUAAAAAGCGCGUGAAAUUGUUGAAAGGGAAGCGCUUGCAGCCAGACUUGCCUGUAGUUGCUCAUCCAGGUUUCUACCUGGUGCACUCUUCUAUAUGCAGGCCAGCANCANUUUGGGCGGUUGGAUAAAGGUCUCUGUCAUGUACCUCUCUUCGGGGAGAACUUAUAGGGGAGACGACNUGCAACCAGCCUGGACUGAGGUCCGCGCAUCUGCUAAGAUGCUGGCGUAAUGGNUGUAAGCGGCNCG
rnacentral:rRNA from 1 species